rnacentral:rRNA from 1 species
AUUGAACGCUGGCGGCAGGCCUAACACAUGCAAGUCGAACGAGUGGCGGACGGGUGAGUAAUGUCUGGGAAACUGCCUGAUGGAGGGGGAUAACUCCUGGAAACGGUAGCUAAUACCGCAUACCAUCGGAUGUGCCCAGAUGGGAUUAGCUAGUAGGUGGGGUAAAGGUUCACCUAGGCGACGAUCCCUAGCUGGUGUGAGAGGAGGCCAAGCCACACUGGAACUGAGACACGGUCCAGACUCCUACGGGAGGCAGCAGUGGGGAAUAUUGCACAAUGGGCGAAAGCCUGAUGCAGCCAUGCCGCGUGUAUGAAGAAGGUCUGUGGGUUGUAAAGUACUUUCAGCGGGGAGGCGUUACCCGCAGAAGAAGCACCGGCUAACUCCGUGCCAGCAGCCGCGGUAAUUC